GCGGCGUUACCUCAGCUGGAUAGAGGACCUGACUACGAAUCAGGGCGUCAUAGGUUCGAAUCCUAUACGCCGCACCA
rnacentral:tRNA from 32 species